rnacentral:rRNA from 1 species
GACGAACGCUGGCGGCGUGCCUAACACAUGCAAGUCGAACGGAAAGGCCCUGCUUUUGUGGGGUGCUCGAGUGGCGAACGGGUGAGUAGCACGUGAGUAACCUGCCCUUGACUUUGGGAUAACUUCAGGAAACUGGGGCUAAUACCGGAUAGGAGCUCCUGCUGCAUGGUGGGGGUUGGAAAGUUUCGGCGGUUGGGGAUGGACUCGCGGCUUAUCAGCUUGUUGGUGGGGUAGUGGCUUACCAAGGCUUUGACGGGUAGCCGGCCUGAGAGGGUGACCGGCCACAUUGGGACUGAGAUACGGCCCAGACUCCUACGGGAGGCAGCAGUGGGGAAUAUUGCACAAUGGGCGGAAGCCUGAUGCAGCAACGCCGCGUGCGGGAUGACGGCCUUCGGGUUGUAAACCGCUUUCGCCUGUGACGAAGCGUGAGUGACGGUAAUGGGUAAAGAAGCACCGGCUAACUACGUG